GAUGAACGCUAGCUACAGGCUUAACACAUGCAAGUCGAGGGGAAACGACAUCGAAAGCUUGCUUUUGGUGGGCGUCGACCGGCGCACGGGUGAGUAACGCGUAUCCAACCUGCCCACCACUUGGGGAUAACCUUGCGAAAGUAAGACUAAUACCCAAUGACGUCUCUAGAAGACAUCUGAAAGAGAUUAAAGAUUUAUCGGUGAUGGAUGGGGAUGCGUCUGAUUAGCUUGUUGGCGGGGUAGCGGCCCACCAAGGCGACGAUCAGUAGGGGUUCUGAGAGGAAGGUCCCCCACAUUGGAACUGAGACACGGUCCAAACUCCUACGGGAGGCAGCAGUGAGGAAUAUUGGUCAAUGGGCGAGAGCCUGAACCAGCCAAGUAGCGUGCAGGACGACGGCCCUAUGGGUUGUAAACUGCUUUUAUAAGGGAAUAAAGUGAGUCUCGUGAGACUUUUUGCAUGUAACCUUAUGAAUAAGGACCGGCUAAUUCCGUG
rnacentral:rRNA from 1 species